rnacentral:tRNA from 1 species
GCUGGGGUUGGGGCUCAGUGGUAGAGUGCUCACCUGCCAUGUGUGAGGCACUGGGUUCAAUCCUCAGCACCAGAU